UAUAAGUCUAUUUUUAACUAAUCGUAUUAGCUUAACCAAUAAAUUCAAUGAGAUUUUUAGUCCAUUUAUCUAAAUAGGCCCUUAGUAUUUUCUCUGCCCAAGCAUAUGCCUCAAGAAUAGAAGCCUCACUAUGUAUCAAAAAUAGAAUAGAAGUCUCGCUACCGUGUCUUAAUUUCACAAGUGGGUCGGUGUUUGUGGC
rnacentral:lncRNA from 1 species